rnacentral:rRNA from 1 species
UGGCGACCGGCGCACGGGUGAGUAACACGUAUCCAACCUGCCGAUAACUCGGGGAUAGCCUUUCGAAAGAAAGAUUAAUAUCCGAUAGGAUAUCAAGGUCGCAUGAUCUUGAUAUUAAAGAAUUUCGGUUAUCGAUGGGGAUGCGUUCCAUUAGUUAGUUGGCGGGGUAACGGCCCACCAAGACGACGAUGGAUAGGGGUUCUGAGAGGAAGGUCCUCCACAUUGGAACUGAGACACGGUCCAAACUCCUACGGAAGGCAGCAG